rnacentral:lncRNA from 10 species
AUCACUAAUACUAUUGUCAUCAUCUGUAAGCAGGAUUUCUUGGUGAAAAUUUUCGCUGAUCAUUUUCUUAUAAACAUCUGUGAACUGAUGAGUUUAAUUAGGGUGCUGCUGAUGAAGCUUCUGUGUGGUCUUUUUAAAAAUUCAGAAUAGUACCGGAUUUGGACCAAAAAGUGCUCUUUUGUGCUGAAGUCUUCAAAAUGUUUUCCACAAAAGUGAGUUUGUUUGGGUUAAUUAUGUGUGUGCAUUAUCCUAUGAACUCUCAAGAUAAAGGGCCUACAGCUGGAGCUGAUUGUAUGCAAUGAGAAGGGACAUUACACUGAUUGGCUAGUUGCUCUUGUCAUUGUUUGUCAUUGUCUUUUUUAUUCUUUUUUUUCUCAUUUGCAUCAAAUAUCUGCCUAUAAUGGUGAACACUGAGCAACUGGCCUGGUUUCAAGGAAAAAAAUCAUGUGAAUUUGAUUGAAGUGCUCUCUGUGGGGUGCACCACACAGACGGGGACAUAUGUGCAGCCUGGCUGUGUGUUUGCUAAUAGGAAAGAGGACUGAGGCCAAGAAAGAGAGGCUGGAGGUGAGAUGACUCAUUCUCUCAAACAGAAGAGGGAGCACUGAAUUUGAACAUGAUGCAGACAAAGGAAGGCAAACCAGCUGAAGAAAGAGGUGCCAGGAGACUUGCAAGGAGACAUGGAAUAUCAGUAUGGUGGGAUGAACUGGGAGGUGAUUACAGACAUUAAGGUUACCUAAGGCAUAGUACAAGGAAAUGUGGAACUCUAGAAUCAUUGGUUAUCAUAUAACUCCAUGGUUCAGAAAGACUGGCUGUGUGUCAAUGUCAAUCACUGCCUAGGACUACUGAAGCAUGUGAGAAGCUGGCAAAUGAAAUAGCUAUAACCCUGUCUAAGGGGAGGAAAGGAAGAGAUCCAUUUACACAUGUAGCAGAACUCAGAUUAUAAAUUCUUGGAAGUCAGGAGCUGUGUCUAUACUGGUUGCACAAAGGACUGUGGAAAUACGCUUAUCAGUAAGCCAGGGUGUUGUUUCUAUUGUUAUGCAAACCCCACCUCUCCAGCAGUCUAUAAAUAGUAAUUGCUCUCCCUAAUAGGAGACACAUUAUGUUGGAAGAACAACAGAUAAUCUCUAUGCCAUGUGUAUCUAAGAAAAUUAAUGAAAAUUUAGAUUUGUUUUGAAAAUGUCAACAAAAUAGAUACAUUGUACAUGUACUUUUGAAAUCUCUUACUCAUAAAUCUGCUGUCUCUUCUUUUCAAUUUUUGUCCAAGUUCUAAAUUGUGGACCCCUCACAAAAUCAUAUGUUGAAGCCCUAACCUCCCUGUGACUGUAUUUGAGGAUAGGCUCUAUAGGAGAUAAUUAAGGUUAAAUGAGUUAAAGAUGGUGCUGUAAUCCAAUAGGACUGGGCCUUGUAAGAGGUGGCUUUGUAAGAAGAGAAAGAGAGAGACAGAUCUCUCUCUGCAUAAACACCCAGGAAAGGCCAUGUGAGGACACAGUGAGAAGGUGGCCACCUGCAAGUCAGGAAGAGAGCCCUCACCAGAAACCUAAUCGGUUGGAACCUUGGACUUUGUAGUCUCCAGAAUUGUGAGAAAAUAGAUUUCUGCCAUUUUAAGCCACCCACCCUGUGGUAUUUUGUGAUGGCAGCCUGAACUGACAAAGACAGUCAUACACUGGAAAACAAGAGCUUUAUAAAUAUACACACAGUUUUGCUGGAGUCACACUCACCAUUAGUAGUCUAUCUCCUACUUGCAACCUUCCAUCUUUUUGUGCAGCUCCUCCAUCUAUAAUUUUAGUUACAUAAAUGCUGUUGUCUCCAGGAAUGUGUUGGUUCCCCACACCUCCUGCAAUACUGAAGCCUAAACCUAUAAGAAAGGAACAGAAAAUGGAAAGCCUUGUUUUGUUGUUGUAGUUGUUUUUAGAAAAUGCAGUUAGCCACAUUUUAACAGUUUUUAAAAAUGAAUCCUCAACUUAUUGUAACAGCAAUAAAUAACACUAAAAACUGUAUUUCAAUCUCGUUAUUUAAAUAUUUGAAGAAUUGUUAAUGCAAAUGAGGCAAAGAUUUUGAAGUCAACCCCAUGUGAGUAGUUUUGUUCUAUUUCCAGACUGUAUGCCUAACUGCUGUUCCUCAGCUAUCCUGUUUAUAAGGGUAACUGGCCAGAGCAGGGAUCAGGUGAAGGGUGUGGAGGAAUCCUAGGUGAGCCAGGAAAAAGACAAGUAUAGUCCUGCUCAUUGUUGACUCUAUGGGCUCAUUUUCAUUGCUGUUGUUACUCUAGCAUAGAGAACAGAAGUACUGCCAAUCACUUGGGCAGAGACCUGGAUACUCUUGAUAUUUCAAGAUGAGAAAUAGAAUUGUUCAAAAAUUGCACAAAUUCUGAGGCAAGAGCCAUGAAUAAGUUACACUGUUUAUAUACAUGUAAUAAUUUCAGAGAGAAGAUAAGGAAAAGAAGCUAGAUGCUUGCCUUUCAUGUUUUGUUCUCUUGCCACCUUGUCAUAUUUUAUAUUUCCUAGCAUUUAUUGUUAUUAACUGAUUAACUAAUUGUGAGACUAGUCACACAAAAAAGUGAAUUAUUCCAGUAUACAGUCUAAAAAAUUAAAAAUAUUCCUUAAAAAUAUUCUAUUGGAAAAUAAAGAAUAAAAAGAAUGUUAAAAAAUUAAUUAAUUAAUUAAUUAAUUUAAUUUUUGAGAUAGUCUCGCUCUGUCGCCCAGGCUGGAGUGCAGUGGUAUGAUUUCAGCUCGCUGCAACCUCUGCCUCCCGGCUUCAAGCGGUUCUCCUGCCUCAGCCUCCUGAGUAGCUGGGAUAACAGGCACACGCCACCAUGUCUGACUACUUUUUUAAAUUUUUAGUAGACACUGAAAAUGUUGGCCAGGCUGGUCUUGAACUCCUGACCUCAGGUGAUCCACCUAACUUGGCCUCCCAAAGUGCUGGGAUUACAGGCAUGAGCCACCACGUCCUGCCAAAAACUUUAAAAUGUAUACUUAGGCUAUAUUAUUUUUAUAACAUGGCAGAAUAUCAAAUCAUUUUAAACAUGGCGAUUGUCUCUUUUAAGAGAUGAUUUUCACUGUACUAUGGCUUAUACAAUCUUAACUUAUAUUAAACUAUGAAGCAAUAACAAGAAUAGAGGACAGUCAUGCACUGCAUAACAAUGUUUUGAUCAGUGAUAGAGUACACAUACGAUGAUGGGCCCAAAAGAUUAUAAUGGAGCUGAGAAAUGGCUAUUGCCAAGUGACAUCAUAGUCAUUGUAACAUCAUAGCAUAAUGAUUACUAAGGUGUUUGUGGUGAUGCAGUGUAAAUGAACCUACUGCAUUUCUAGUCACAUAUAUAAAAGUAUAGCAUAUACAAUUGUAAACAAUAAAUAAUACUUGAUAAUGAUAAUAAAUAACUAUGUUCCUGGUUUAUGUAUUUACUACACUAUGCUUUUUAUUGUUAUAUUUGAGUGUACCCCUCUCCUUAUUAAAAAAAAUGUUAAUUGUAGAAAAGCCUCAAGCAACUCUUUCAGGAGGUAUCCUACAAGAAGGCAUUAUUAUUACAGGAGAUGACAGAUCCAUGCUGUAACAUUUUACAUGUUAUUGCUCCUGAACAUCUUCCAGUUGGACAAGAUGUGAAGGUAGAAGACAAUGAUACUGAUGAUCCUGACCCUGGGUAGGCCUAGGCUAAUGUGUGUGUUUGUGUCUUCAUUUUUAACAAAAAGUUUAACGUGUAAAAAAAAAAAAAAAAAAAGAAAAGCUUAUAGAAUAAGAAUAGAAAAAAGAAAAUACUUUGUAUAGCUGUACAAUAUGUUUGUUUUAAGCUAAGUGUUAUUACAAAAGAGUCAAAAAGUUCAUAAAGUAAAAAAGUUACAGUGAGCUAAGGUUAAUUAUUGAAACUUUUUAAAAAUAAACUUAAUCUAGCCUAAGUGUACAGUGUUCUUUAAGUCUACAGUAGUGUACAAUAAUGUACUAGGACUUCACAUUUACUCAUUACUCAUUCACUGAUUUACCCAGAGCAAUUUUCAGUCCUAUAGGUUCCACUCAUGCUAAAUGCCCUGUACAGAUGUACCGUUGUUUAUCUUUUAUUUUUUACUGUACUUUUUCUAUGUUUAGAUAUGUUAAGUUACACAAAUAGUUAUCGUUGUUUUGCAAUUGCCUACAGUACGCAGUAUAGUAACAUGGUAUACAGGUUUGUAUCCAAGGAACAACAGGCUAUACUACAUAGCCUAGGCUUGUAGUAGUCUAUUCUAUUUCAGUUUGCUAAGUACGCUCUAUUAUGUUCCCAUAACAAUGAUGACAUUGUCUAAUGAUGUAUUUCUCAGAAUGCAUGCCCAUUGUUAAAUGACACAUGAAUGUAUUUUAAAAAGUUAUUAUGAGAUCAUUUUAAAGGAAUAAUUAAUAGACUCUUUAAACGUAUAAGAAUUUUUAAAAAUCUCUUUCAGAAUAUGUUUGAAUGCUCAUUCAGUACAAUACUUGCAGCAUACAUUUUCAUUGCAUUUUACAAUCAUAAGAUAAUUAACAUGCAAAUUACUCAAGAAGACAGAUAUUAAUCAAGGGCCUUUUGACUACAGACAUAAUUUCUAUAGCUUACUUGGCUUAAGACUUUUUUAGAAAAACCACACACCUAGUAAAAUAAUAAAGCUAUCAUUAAAAUAUUUGGCAUUUUAUACAACAAUAAUAAAAAAUACUUAAAAAUAUUAACUCUACUUCACUAUACUUUUAUUGAAUAAAUAUUGGGUAAGGUUAUGCACUCUUAAGAUAGCAUAAAUAGUUAAUUGAAAAAUGAUGGCAUAGUAAAUUAUAAAGCAACAUCUCUGGAAUUAUAUUUGAAAUGCAAUGAUCGUUAAAUUAACCAUAAUAGUUGUUAAAAAUAAAUGGAAAAUUGAUUUAAAUUGAUAGGGCAAUUAAAGCAAGUGUUAUCUAAUUUCCUUGUGAUGUGAGUAAUUAUUUUUACUGAUGCUUUGCCACCCCAUGGAACAAUGAAUAUAUUUGUUUGCCUCAGAUUUACAAUUUGUUUAUUAAGCAAAUGAUGACCAAAGAGUAAAAUACCCCAAACUGGCUUUUCCUAUAAAAUUUAAAAUACAUAUCAGCUCAUGUUUCCCAAAACUGUUACUUUAUUAUACAUGAAAAUAGGGAAGUUUUAAAAAAUGUAUUUACAAAAGUUUCUUAGCCACGUGCUAAGGUCAAUCUACCAUAUUUAUAAAAGUACAGAGGUUAUUCCAAACUCUGAAAAGAGAAGGCUAAAACAAAUUCAGAGACUCCAAUUUACAUCCACUAUGCCAGCAGUAAAUGCCACGGUCUUAGCUACAAGAAGAGCUGUAGAAAUAAAUUACCACCAUAAAAACGGGUAAGUUCAACAAACAGAGCAAGUAUGUAGUUGACAUUUGAAGUUGAAGACUGCACAAAGACAAUGAAAGCACUAUGGAUACUGUAGAUAGAUAGAUGAUAGAUAGAUAGAUAGAUAGAUAGAUAGAUAGAUAGAUAGAUAAAAAUCGAGUAACAUUUUUUCUUGAGAUUGGGUUUAUGUGCUUCUUUUUAACUAGUGACUCUAUUCAAGGUGAAGCAAGGUAUUUUUAGUAAAUGUUCCUCUCAGAGCCAGAGCAUGUUUCUGAAUGUACACAACUAGUAAUUUUUCCAAUUUCCUUUACUUUGACAUAACAUGCAUGUGUUUAAAAACAAUUAAAAUUUAUUUAACACUUAAUCAUAUUCUAAAUAUUCAAUUCAGAUGAUGAAUAAAUCUGUAGUUUAUGUCUACAUUGAGAAUUUAUGUUUAUUUACAGGUGGAAAUAUCUAUCUGUGCUAUAAGAUUGCAUCUAUCCUCAUUCAUUUAUUCAUUCACACAUCCAUUCUUUCAAUAAGCAUCUCCUGAGUACAUACUGUGCGUUGUAUUACCUGCUGCUAUCGAGCACGGCCAAAGUAAAUGUAAAGAAUUUUUUUUCCAUUUUUAAUUUUUAGUUGUUAUGGAUACAUAAUAAAUGUAAAUAGGGUGCACAUGAUAAUUUGAUACAAGUAUACAAUGUGUAAUGAUCAAAUCAGGAUAAUUGGGAUAUCCAUUACCUUAAACAUUUAUCAUUUCUUAGUGUUAGGAACAUUUUAAUUCUACUCUUAGUUAUUUCGAAAUACACAAUACAUUAUUAACUAUAGCCACCCUAUUGCACUACUGAACACUAGAAAGAUCUAUUUCUUUUAUCUAACUGUAUUUUUUAUCCAUUGACCAGAAACACUGUAAUAAUAAUGACCCAAAAGUGAGUUCAUAUGAGUGAGUGUAGUUGAAACAUGUCUGAAGCAAUGUUCUAAACCCAGAUAAUGCAAGCAAUUUUUGGAUAGCUAUUCUAUGAAGACAAAUGUGGGCUAGGACCACUGAGCAAUAAGACCAAACACAAAUUACCUGGGUUUUUCUUGCAUAGACUCUGUUAAAGCAGGGGCAGGCUCUCUACCUUAUAAGACCUAGACUGGCUAAGGCAUGCCAUGACUAAUGCCCCUGUCCCCCAUCCCUGUUAUUAAUCUCACAUGUCUUCCCUUCAUUAGCUAAUUUUUCCCUCCUUCAUUCCACUCAAAACACACUUGCAUCCUUGACGUUUCUUUUUUUAUUUUUAUUUUUUUGCCUUUAACUUUUAAGUUCUGGGGUACAUAUGCAAUAUGUCCAGGUUUGUCACAUUGGUAAAUGUGUGCCCUGGUAGCUUGCUGCAAAGAUCAACCCAUCAAUGUGAUAUUAAGCCCAGAAUCCAUUAGCUAUUCUUCCUGAUGCUCUUCUUCCCUGCUUCCCUCCCCUUGACAAGCCCUAGUGUGUGUUGUUUUCCUCCAUGUGUCCAUGUGUUCUCAUCAUUCAGCUCCCACUUACAAGUGACAACAUGUGGUGUUUGGUUUUCUGUUCCUGUGUUACUUUGCUGAGAAUGAUGGCUUCCAGCUCCAUCCAUGUCCCUGUAGAGGACAUGAUCUCAUUCCUUUUUAUGGCUACAUAGUAUUCCAUGGUGUAUAUGAACCACAUUUUCUACAUCCAGUCUAUCAUUGAUUGGCAUUUAGGUUGAUUCCAUGUCUUUGCUAUUGGGAAUAGUGUUGCAAUGAAAAUACAUGUGUAUUUAUCUUUAUAAUAGAAUGAUAUAUAUUCCUUUGGAUAUAUACCCAGUGAUGGGAUUGCUAGGUUGAAUUUUUUUCCUCUAGGUCUUUGAGGAAUUGCCACACUCUCUUCCACAAUGAUUGAACAAAUUUAUAUUCCCAUCAACAGUGUAAAAGCAUUCCUUUUUCUCCACAACCUCACCAGUGUCUGUUGUUUUUUUGACUUUUUUUUUA